GAUGCUGACGAGCGGCGGACGGGUGAGUAACGCGUAGGAAUUUGCCUGAUAGAGGGGGAUAGCCCGGGGAAACUCGGAUUAAUACCGCAUACGACCUACGGGUGAAAGCAGGGGAUCUUCGGACCUUGCGCUAUUAGAGCGGCCGAUAUCUGAUUAGGUAGUUGGUGGGGUAAAGGCCUACCAAGCCGACGAUCAGUAGCUGGUCUGAGAGGACGAUCAGCCACACUGGAACUGAGACACGGUCCAGACUCCUACGGGAGGCAGCAGUGGGGAAUUUUGGACAAUGGGGGAAACCCUGAUCCAGCCAUUCCGCGUGAGUGAAGAAGGCCUUCGGGUUGUAAAGCUCUUUCGUGAGGGAAGAAAUUUUAUUGUCGAAUAAACAGUAAAGAUGACGGUACCUUAAGAAGAAGCACCGGCUAACUACGUGCCAGCAGCCGCGGUAAUACGUAGGGUGCGAGCGUUAAUCGGAAUUACUGGGCGUAAAGCGUGCGCAGGCGGUCUUAUAAGUCAGAUGUGAAAUCCCCGAGCUCAACUUGGGAACUGCGUUUGAAACUGUAAGACUAGAGUGUGUCAGAGGGAGGUAGAAUUCCACGUGUAGCAGUGAAAUGCGUAGAGAUGUGGAGGAAUACCAAUGGCGAAGGCAGCCUCCUGGGAUAACACUGACGCUCAUGCACGAAAGCGUGGGGAGCAACAGGAUUAGAAAUCCCCCUGGG
rnacentral:rRNA from 1 species